GACGAACGCUGGCGGUGUGCUUCACACAUGCAAGUCGAACGAGGUAGCAAUACCUAGUGGCGGACGGGUGAGUAACGCGUGGGAAUCUGCCUUUAGAUGGGGGAUAACGGGUCGAAAGACUCGCUAAUACCGCAUAUGACGAAAGUUGAAAGGAGUAAUCCGUCUAAAGAUGAGCCCGCGUCCGAUUAGCUAGUUGGUAGAGUAAAAGCCUACCAAGGCGACGAUCGGUAGCUGGUCUGAGAGGAUGAUCAGCCACAAUGGGACUAGAGACACGGCCCAUACUCCUACGGGAGGCAGCAGUGGGAAUUUUACGCAAUGGGCGAAAGCCUGACGUAGCGACACCGCGUGAGCGAAGAAGCCCCUGGGGUGUAAAGCUCUGUCAGCUGGAACGAAAAAAUGACGGUACCAGCAGAGGAAGCAUCGGCUAACUACGUGCCAGCAGCCGCGGUAA
rnacentral:rRNA from 1 species